rnacentral:lncRNA from 1 species
CUGCUGUACAGGCUUCCUAUAUUGCAUCAUAACAGGCGCGGUUACCAAGCUCCCAAAGAAAGUGAUCCCCAAAAAAAUUUCUGCCAACCGACCACCGAAAGGAAAUAUGUUCAUAUUGUCUACUCUUCAAUGUCUGCAUGGUAUUAGGAGCCGCCUCAGUGCUGAGGAGCUGUUGGAAAGCUGGUUGAUGAUCUCUUCAUUUGAUAUGUCGCUGACUAUCUGUUUCUCCAUGUACAUCAGCAUAAGUGUCUCUUAGUAGUUUGUUAAAAUUCUACUCUAAAGACCGAUAGCCUGCAUGUGAACCGGAUUGGUAAGUACUUGAUCAACGUCUA